rnacentral:rRNA from 1 species
CAUGCCUACGGGAGGCAGCAGUGAGGAAUAUUGGUCAAUGGCCGGAAGGCUGAACCAGCCAAGUCGCGUGAGGGAAUAAGGCCCUAUGGAUUGUAAACCUCUUUUGUCAGGGAGCAAAGGGCGCCACGUGUGGCGUUUUGCGAGUACCUGAAGAAAAAGCAUCGGCUAACUCCGUGCCAGCAGCCGCGGUAAUACGGAGGAUGCGAGCGUUAUCCGGAUUUAUUAGGUUUAAAGGGUGCGCAGGCGGAAUGUCAAGUCAGCGGUAAAAUUUCGGGGCUCAACCCCGUCGUGCCGUUGAAACUGGG